UCUGUGGUAGACAACUGGUGGGCUUCUAAGGGAUGCUGCCCUCUGUCUAUCCAUCUGCUGUGGCUAACACUGACUAGAUCAGGCCCCGGUGCAGGCUCCUAACCAAAGCAAUGAGAAGACGACCACUCCUGAGAGGAAAAGAGGAUCCGAGCCUGUGGCUGUCCCUUCAGGAGUCGCAAUGAUGAACCACUGUUUCACUUCCCUCAGAGGCCACCUGGCAAAUCCCGUGCCAGGAGAUGGAAGAGGAACUGAGAAAUUUAAAAAAUAAAACAAAACAAAACAAGACUGGAGACAUUCUGAAGCCUAAGCCAAAUUCAAGAAGUGGACAAGAACUGAACAAGAGAGAUUGGAGGAGGGAAGAGGAAUCAUCAUUCAGCCGGUACAAAAAUGAGCAUGGAUUAAGCAUAUAGGACCAAGAAUCCACAGAACUAAGUGAGAAAAAUUAAAAGAAAAGAAGAAGGAGGAGGAGGAGUGAA